AUUGAACGCUAGCGGGAUGCCUUACACAUGCAAGUCGGAACGGCAGCGCGGACUUCGGUCUGGCGGCGAGUGGCGAACGGGUGAGUAAUGUAUCGGAACGUGCCCAGUAGCGGGGGAUAACUACUCGAAAGAGUAGCUAAUACCGCAUACGCCCUACGGGGAAAGGGGGGGAUCGCAAGACCUCUCACUAUUGGAGCGGCCGAUAUCGGAUUAGCUAGUUGGUGAGGUAAAGGCUCACCAAGGCGACGAUCCGUAGCUGGUUUGAGAGGACGACCAGCCACACUGGGACUGAGACACGGCCCAGACUCCUACGGGAGGCAGCAGUGGGGAAUUUUGGACAAUGGGGGAAACCCUGAUCCAGCCAUUCCGCGUGUGCGAUGAAGGCCUUCGGGUUGUAAAGCACUUUUGGCAGGAAAGAAAUCGCAUCAAUUAAUACUUGGUGUGGAUGACGGUACCUGCAGAAUAAGCACCGGCUAACUACGUG
rnacentral:rRNA from 1 species